GACGAACGCUGGCGGCGUGCUUAACACAUGCAAGUCGAACGGAAAGGCCCUGCUUUUGUGGGGUGCUCGAGUGGCGAACGGGUGAGUAACACGUGAGUAACCUGCCCUUGACUUUGGGAUAACUUCAGGAAACUGGGGCUAAUACCGGAUAGGAGCUCCUGCUGCAUGGUGGGGGUUGGAAAGUUUCGGCGGUUGGGGAUGGACGCGCGGCUUAUCAGCUUGUUGGUGGGGUAGUGGCUUACCAAGGCUUUGACGGGUAGCCGGCCUGAGAGGGUGACCGGCGACAUUGGGACUGAGGGACGGAGCAGACGCGUACGGGAGGCAGCAGGGGGGAGUAUUGCACAAUGGGCGGAAGCCUGAUGCGGCGACGCCGCGUGCGGGAUGACGGCUUUCGGGUUGUAAACCGCUUUCGCCUGUGACGAAGCGUGAGUGACGGUAAUGGGUAAAGAAGCACCGGCUAACUACGUG
rnacentral:rRNA from 1 species